CAUCUGUCGACCGAGAGGAGGGAGAGGAGGGUUUUCUGCACUUCUCCACUCCAAGGAAGAUGAGCACAGUCGCAGGUUUCUGAAGGAGGUCUUUGACUGCCUCAUAUCUGAACCGACACAGCUUGGUCUCAACCUGAAAUGAGGUUGGCUGAAAACUCAACACAUGGAUUGAUGAUGCUGUGAAGGGAUUUAGAGAAUCACAUCACUGAAACCAAAAGAAAGCUCUCUGUACCCAUGAGACAGCAGCUCCUCCACCACUUGGUAGUGUCCGUUACGAGCGGCGAGCAUCAGCGCCGUCCAGCCGCUGUAUCCCGUCUGGUUGAUGAGCGAGGGGGCGUGGGACAGCAGCUGGGAC